UACAGAGGUCCCAAGCGUUGUUCGGAUUCAUUGGGCGUAAAGGGUGCGUAGGUGGCGCCGUAAGUGGGGUGUGAAAUUUCGGAGCUUACUCCGAAAACUGCAUUCCAUACUGCGGUGCUUGAGGACUGGAGAGGAGACUGGAAUUUACGGUGUAGCAGUGAAAUGCGUAGAGAUCGUAAGGAAGACCAGUGGCGAAGGCGGGUCUCUGGACAGUUCCUGACACUGAGGCACGAAGGCCAGGGGAGCAAACGGG
rnacentral:rRNA from 1 species